rnacentral:rRNA from 1 species
GUCCACGCCGUAAACGAUGAGUGCUGGACGUUGGUGGGCUUGCCCGUCAGUGUCGUAGCUAACGCGAUAAGCACUCCGCCUGGGAAGUACGGCCGCAAGGUUAAAACUCAAAGGAAUUGACGGGGCCCGCACAAGCGGUGGAGCAUGUGGUUCAAUUCGACGCAACGCGAAGAACCUUACCAGCCCUUGACAUGGUAGUCGCUGGGUCCAGAGAUGGACUCGUCGGUUCGGCCGGACUACACACAGGUGCUGCAUGGCUGUCGU